UGUUUUGCUGUUGUCGGGUGGAUCACGAUGCAAUUUUGAUUAGUAAAAUAGGAGAAAAAUUGCACGGUAUCCAUCUGUAAACCGCAGG
rnacentral:pre_miRNA from 22 species